CCGAGGGUACAAGAUGCUGUUAUUUACAGCAGAGUGAGCCAAACAUCAGUGAGAAACAGUCUGUUGACUGAAAUACAGAACCAGGGGGAAGGCAGGAUGAGCACUGUUGGAAAAGUUAUUAAAUGCAAAGCAGCCGUGUUAUGGGAACCGAAUAAACCUUUUUCCAUUGAGGAAAUAGAAGUUGCCCCACCAAAGGCUAAAGAAGUUCGUAUCAAGAUUUUGGCCACAGGAAUCUGUCGCACAGAUGACCAUGUGAUUAAAGGACUAAUGGUGUCCAGGUUUCCAGUGAUUGUGGGACAUGAAGCAACUGGCCUUGUGGAGAGCAUUGGAGAAGGAGUCACUACAGUGAAACCAGGUGACAAGGUCAUCCCCCUCUUUAUGCCUCAAUGUAGAGAAUGCAAUGCUUGUCGCAACCCAGAUGGAAACCUUUGCAUUAAGAGCGACAUUACCGGUCGUGGAGUACUAGAUGAUGGCACUACCAGAUUUUCAUGCAAGGGCAAACCGGUCUACCACUUCAUGAACACCAGUACGUUUACUGAGUACACAGUGGUGGAUGAAUUCUCUGUUGCUAAGAUUGAUGACGCAGCUCCUCCUGAGAAAGUCUGUUUAAUUGGAUGUGGGUUUUCCACGGGAUAUGGGGCUGCGAUUAAAACUGGCAAGGUCACCCCUGGUUCCACCUGUGCUGUCUUUGGCCUGGGAGGAGUUGGCCUUUCAGUCAUCAUGGGCUGUAAGUCGGCUGGUGCAUCCAGGAUCAUUGGAAUUGACCUCAACAAAGACAAAUUUGAGAAGGCAAAGGCUGUAGGAGCCACUGACUGCAUCAGCCCCAAGGACUCUACUAAGCCUAUCAGUGAAGUGCUGUCAGAAAUGACAGGCAACACUGUGGGUUACAGUUUUGAAGUUAUUGGGCGUCUUGACACAAUGAUUGAUGCCCUCGCAUCCUGCCACAUGAACUAUGGGACCAGCGUGGUGGUAGGUGCUCCUCCAUCAGCCAAGAUGCUCACCUACGACCCUAUGCUGCUCUUCACUGGACGCACAUGGAAGGGAUGCAUUUUUGGAGGUUGGAAAAGCAGAGAUGAUGUUCCAAAAAUAGUGAAUGAUUUCCUGGCAAAGAAAUUUGACCUGGACCAGUUGAUAACCCAUGUUUUACCUUUUAAAAAAAUCCAAGAAGGAUUCGAACUGCUCUAUUCAGGGAAAAGCAUCCGAACUGUCCUGACGUUCUAAGUGGCAGGAGUCUGUGCUGUGUGAUGGAGACCUGGCUUCCCUUCUACUCUCCCCUCUGUGACUUGGAAGGCCAUGCGGAGGUCAAUUCAAGCUCACGUUGGAAGGAUGAGCUGGAGCAGACCAGUGAAGAGAGGGGCAAGAUUCUCCCAGUUGAAGGAACCACACGCCCAAAGGCCAGUAAUUUGGAAAAGCUGACCAUCUCCUACCGGGAAUUGUAAAAAGGCCAGCAUAUUUGCCUCAAAAUGCUAAUACAAUUGUUUAGUUUCAUGAAACUGAAGAGUACUAAUUUCUUAUGGACAUUUUUGUAUGUUUAUUUCUCUCAGUGGUCAGCUUGCUCAGACACUCGUCCAGAAAAGAACAUGCUUGGUUAUCACCAAAACCGAUAUGAGAUGAUUGCCACCCAGAGGAAGAAAAACACUGUAGAGCUUUCCCAGGAAGGCUCCUUCCCUGCAACCUCAACUCCAGUCUGCAGAAGUUCCUUCCACCAGCAUUUCCUUUCUUGUUUCUCACUCCUCUUUACUAGGAUUCUGCGUACUCCUCGGUAACAACUAGCUAACUGCGGCCUCAUAGACUUGUUUAUAGUAUUUACCUCCUUUGUGCACAUACACUUGUCCAUCUUUUUGUUCCUCAUAGAGUUGGAUUUCCUUCAGGGAGGAAAGUGAAAAUCCCAUUGCCCCAGGCAACCAGCCUUAGGUUCCAUGGUUCUUUUCGCUUCUCUCUGACAUUGUCAGUCGCCCCACAGGCUACAGAGAAGUGACCGAUGCUUCCCAGAGAGUUCAACCCAUUCUACAUGUGACGUUUCAGAAGAUAGGGACUCUGCUCCAAGUUCUCUCUUAAAAACAGUACCAAGUAGAACACUGUGUGUCCAAUGGACAGGAUGUAAGCAUUCUUAGCUGACUUACUGAUUGAAUUAAGAGAAUUGCAUAUUCCUGGUUGUAUCCCUCACACAAUACAUCAUCACGUUAGCCAAAGAAAUGACUGAGGUACCAUGACAUGUUCUUGGGGACUGUUCUUCCUAUUAGUCCAACAUUUCAUUACACAUUUUAUUUGUUUUUAUCUUCUGUGAAUGAAUUACACUUCUUAAAGUUCUAGUCAAUAAUUUAAUUAAAAAUACUGUUUACUUGAAUUUGCAAUUGCACAUUUGGACAAAACAGUGUUCUCACUUAGCUAGCAUUUUGUAAAUUUCAAGGCAAGUUUUGGCAAAGAAUCAUAUGAUUACAUAACUAUCUGACAUGCCUCAAAUGUAGUGCUAUUCAUUCAACAAAGCUCUUGGUAAACAAAGUUUCCCACAGAAAAACACCCAUGAAGUGCAAAUAUUGAACUCUAGUUGUAGAUUACAACUUUAUUCAAAGCAUGAUGUGGUGGCCUGACUUGAAAGGCAUGUGUUUAAAACUCUCAGUAUCUGUUUCCUGAGGCCCCAUCUAGCUCUAACUUUCAAAGGUUCUAAUUAAAAUGGACCAUCUUGAGAUCUUUGUAAACUUGAUUUCUCUUUACUUUGGAAAAGAAGACUGAGGAGAAUCUCUCUAGGAAUAAAAAGUGCCAAAGCACUUACAAUUUAUUUUUGUAAAAUAGGAGACCCUUGCUAGAGUUUUCAUUCUGGCAAAUGAGAAACAUCGAAAUGUGCUCUUGCCAGGAAGCCACUGGGUUCCAAGAAAAUGCUUGGCUGAAAUCAAGAGAAACCCUCAUGUCAGUCAGCUUGAUCAAGGAUUAUCUCAGAAGGAGAAAGAGGUUCUAGCUCUUCAGCUCUAGCACUAUUAGGAGACCCUAUUUCAUCCCCACCUGCUUCUAGGAUGCUUGGUUUUGCAGAAUUCCAAUCUAUUUUGGUCAAUUGUCCAUCAGAAACAUUACAAAACUAUCAUUAAAGCAUGGUAUUUUUUAAAACCCAGUUUCCCCAUUACCACAAGUUUAUCUUUUUAAAGAUGUGUUAAGUCUCACCUCUUUUCUUCAGUUGCUUUAUUAAGUGAUUUAACCACGGGAAAUGUCUCAUUUUGUCCAAAUUAUUUCCUCUAAUUUUAGAAAGGGUAAAAUGGAGAAAUGGAUAUGUAUCCUAAAACUGAAGGCUUAUUUCAAAGGCUCCAUUAGCCUUUGGCUACCAGACUGAUUUUCAUAGAGGAGGUCCGGCGUGUUCCUUUGGUUUCUGUGCCUGAGGCAAUGCUUAUAGAAAAGGUAGGAGUCCCUAAAAGGAAAACACCUAAUCAUUGCGUGAUGUCUCCCCACCUCACUUAGGAGACCACUAAUAGGAGGUUUCUCUACCUUUAUCCAAAAACAUUUUUCUCCUUUUCAAAAUAUACACAAUGGAAAUAUCCCAGAGUCCAUGCCUUACUACUUUGCCCUAAGAAUAGGUUAGCAUUUUGAUCUUACCCACUUGGAUUAAGUCCACAACUCCUGGAAAUAAUCACCUGGAUGCUCCAUAGGUGACUCACACUAACAUGACUGAACUGAACCCUUCAUUGCCUCCAGAGCUGGUCUGCCUCCUGGGUUCUCCAUUUUAGUUUGUGGCCCCACCAUCCACUCAAACUAGAAAGCUGAGCAUCACACUGGAUUCCUUCCCCUGCACCAGCCUCCACAUCUAACGCAUCAUCAAGGCCUGUAGAUUUUUUCUCCUAAAUAUGAAUCGGUCAAUUCCCUCUCCCUCUUCCCUGCUAGCAUGUUCUCCCCUGGCCUGUUCCCACAUCUUCUGUCCAAAUUCUGCAAAAACCAUCUAGCACAUGUCCCUGCCUAUUGUAGAAUGGCUUUGAAAUGACUCACCCAAAUCCCUAAAGCCCAUCCACAAGAAUGCGCAAAUUCAGCACUCUCUACUUCUAUUAUUUAAAAUGCAGAAAAGCCCUUUGAGAGCAAAGUCGAAAGCAGCACCAACUCCCCUUCUUUCACCUCAGGCCUCAGAGCCAGACACCUCACGGUGCCAGCAUGGACAGGGUGUGUAGGGUGGACAGGGCAUGCCCUGUGCACUGUGGACCAGCUCUGCCUGGGCCCCUGCUCAUGUGGGAGUGAGAGACAUGGGCCCCCCUUGAAAGGAUGGAUUCCUGCCAAGCACAGGUGCACUCUGUGCUCAGGGGUCAGGCUUGUUGCUGCGGUCUUCUCCUUUCCAUCAGAGCAGGAAUCUUUCUUAUUGUCCCCUUUCCUUAAGAAGAAGGGGAUUUGUCUUUCACUGCCUUGUUUGCCCUGAAAACCUAGACAGGAUUCAGGAUCUAAAUACCAUGAACUUAAGUACUUCAACGUUCAUUGGAGACAAGCUUCGUAACACUUUGGGGAUCAUUAUAUUCUUCUAUUUAGAUUUACUGAGUUUUAAGUUUAUUCAUUACUCACCAAAAAAAAAUAGUCUGUGUGUCUAACUUAAUUUUCUGUAUUCUUUGGAAAAUUCUCAGUACUUAAGAAGUUUUUCUAUCCUAUUACCCUCCUUCAGAACUUUGGGAAGUUCCAUGUACCCUGCUCUUGCCCUGUUUCCCUCCGAAUGAGCUCCUCUACAGUCCCCAGCUGAGGCAUCAUGGGACAAAUCUGAUCAUGUCACUCAAGUUAAAAAAUCAUUUAAGGGCUCCACUUUGUCUCCGGGAUAUGACCAUCAAUCAAAGGCCCCUUGUGAUGGGCCAGCUGACCUCCCAUCGAACAUUGCUUGCCUUCCCCCUGCACCCACCAUGUUCAGGUUUCAUUUUCUUUCUUGCUUUCUCUCUUGCUAUUCCUCUCCCAUCAAUCCCCCUUAUUUUAGCAAAUUCCUACCUAUCCAUUAGGAUUUACUUUAGUCUUACUCCCCAGAAGACUACUCAUCUGACCUCAGUGCCCUCUGCUCUCUCAGUACCCUGGCAUCAUGCUGCCAUUGUGUGGGGCAGGUUACACUGUAGUAUUCUGCAUACGUGAUUGUUCCUUCAUGAGUCAGGUCCUCUAUCUCCAGCUGCUGGCAGAGAGGCUACCAAGAGUAGAUGUCCAAUAGUGUUUCUGAAGUAAAUGCAUAAAUGAAAGGCUCUUGAUCCAGGAGGACUGGGUUCCUCUUCAGGACUUAGAAAGGGCAGCAGGUGGCAGUAUCUAGCUAGGCCAAAGUGUCAUGAGCCAGUUCAUAGUGAAGGCAGCAGGAGAGUCCUGCUCCCUGCAGCAUGCGCCUUGGGGCACUUUUCCUGCUGCCUUGUUUCCUGUUCCCAGUAGAGUUGAGGAAAAUGAAGCCACCUCUGAAAGUUUUGUCGUUGAGGGAGACACCUAACCCUGCAGUGCGGAGCCAGCUGUGCACCCUACUCAGGGUAUAUCCCCCCAAAUUGUCCUGCUCGACCCAGAAAUGCUUUAGGAAGGAGAGAAAAUGUAGAGGAAAUGCUCUGUUACUCAGUAUGUAAAUCAGCCUCUAGCUGACAACCCACUUCAUGAACUGAGGGAUUAUUGGAGAGUAUUUACAACCCUACAGUGACUCCUGCUAAUUCUUAAUUUACUUUUAUUAGUUUUCAAUCCCACUGAAUUGAUCUCAUUCUCCCAGGUUAAAUUCUCCAAUUCCCCUACACCAGUCUUUACCUGUAAUAGUUCUAAAUAAAUAAACAUAAGCCGAAAGAAUGGUUUAGUUCAGUGACCCCUAAGUGUUUGCUUUGGUGGUUGUUAUAACUUCCACUUUAUAUUCUUCCCGUUGUUCCUUAUGUUGGUGAACUUCUAACCAAGUAGGCCAGAACCUAGGAUUUUCAUCACAGUUCAUCUCACCCCGAGUGCUCACAGCUUCUUGACUUGCCUGGUGAACAAAAUGAGGGCAGGACCUACAUGAGGCAGGAUCCUAGCAGACAACAGUAGACUUCGUCAAACGAGAGUUUAGUUGAGGAAACUUUAAUUAAGGGCUUUUUAGAGGUGUCAGCAGUUAGUCACUCCAACAGCAGUGAGAAAGUAUCUGAGGUCUCACUUCAGUGGGAAACUGUGUUUGCCCCUAGGUCUCAAGGUCAAGGGCAAGAGAGAGUUACCAGAAUGUAGCAGGAGCUGGUGCCAUAGCAGAGGGGCUGUCUGACAGGAGCCGUGGCCAUGGGCAGAAGAAACAGUGACUGCCACGUCAGGGCAGGCGAUGAGGAAGACGGGGAGAAACACCCUGACCUCUCUCUCCUGCUGCCCUCUGACCUUCUGCUGGUGACUCAUUGACUCCCCCGAGUCAGAAUCCAGAAACCAUGGAGGCCAAGUGUUUGCUGGGGAAUCAGCCCCCAAGGGCAAGAGCAGGGCAGAGAAUGGGUCUGAGGGCAGGCAGAAUAUCACAGCACAGGACCUGCCUCGUUCCCAGUUUUCUCCCCAGUACCUAGCACAGUGCUUUUUUCUGGAUCUCCGUAUUUGUAAACAAGUGAUUCCCUUUGAAGCACAGUUGACCCUUGAACAACUUGGGUGUGAAUAUACAGGUCCACUUACACACACAUUUUUUUUUUUCAAUUGACACAGGCAGUGGAAGUCACAUUCUUCAAGGGUAGACUCCAUCUUUGUGAAUUCCUAUAUGUAAUUUCCUGUAACCCUGGGUCAUUCAAGAUACAUGCAUGCCUAUGUUCUUCGCAGCAUUAUUUACAACUAGAGGCCUGGUGCACGAAAUUUGUGCAUGGGUG